AACAGCGUAAAAGGAGGAAAAGUAAUUCUGAAGCUGGCCACGCAGUGUUGUAGUUUGUUAUAUAGCAUGUGAGCUAGUUUCAAACAAGG
rnacentral:snoRNA from 1 species